rnacentral:rRNA from 1 species
AUUGAACGCUGGCGGCAGGCCUAACACAUGCAAGUCGAGCGGCAGCGGGAGGUAGCUUGCUACUUUGCCGGCGAGCGGCGGACGGGUGAGUAAUGUCUGGGAAACUGCCUGAUGGAGGGGGAUAACUACUGGAAACGGUAGCCAAUACCGCAUAACGUCGCAAGACCAAAGAGGGGGACCUUCGGGCCUCUUGCCAUCAGAUGUGCCCAGAUGGGAUUAGCUAGUAGGUGGGGUAACGGCUCACCUAGGCGACGAUCCCUAGCUGGUCUGAGAGGAUGAACAGCCACACUGGAACUGAGACACGGUCCAGACUCCUACGGGAGGCAGCAGUGGGGAAUAUUGCACAAUGGGCGCAAGCCUGAUGCAGCCAUGCCGCGUGUAUGAAGAAGGCCUUCGGGUUGUAAAGUACUUUCAGCGGGGAGGAAGGUGUUGAGGUUAAUAACCUCAGCAAUUGACGUUACCCGCAGAAGAAGCACCGGCUAACUCCGUGCCAGCCGCCGCCGUAACAC